rnacentral:rRNA from 1 species
GAUGAACGCUGGCGGCGUGCCUAAUACAUGCAAGUCGAGCGAAUGGAUUAAGAGCUUGCUCUUAUGAAGUUAGCGGCGGACGGGUGAGUAACACGUGGGUAACCUGCCCAUAAGACUGGGAUAACUCCGGGAAACCGGGGCUAAUACCGGAUAACAUUUUGAACCGCAUGGUUCGAAAUUGAAAGGCGGCUUCGGCUGUCACUUAUGGAUGGACCCGCGUCGCAUUAGCUAGUUGGUGAGGUAACGGCUCACCAAGGCAACGAUGCGUAGCCGACCUGAGAGGGUGAUCGGCCACACGGGGACUGGGACACGGCCCAGACUCCUACGGGAGGCAGCAGUAGGGAAUCUUCCGCAAUGGACGAAAGUCUGACGGAGCAACGCCGCGUGAGUGAUGAAGGCUUUCGGGUCGUAAAACUCUGUUGUUAGGGAAGAACAAGUGCUAGUUGAAUAAGCUGGCACCUUGACGGUACCUAACCAGAAAGCCACGGUUAACUACGUGCCAGCCGCCGCAGUAA